GCGAAGGUGGCGGAAUUGGUAGACGCGCUAGCUUCAGGUGUUAGUGUUAUUACGGACGUGGGGGUUCAAGUCCCCCCCCUCGCACCA
rnacentral:tRNA from 1 species